rfam:Ovis aries breed Texel chromosome 3, whole genome shotgun sequence.
CCCCUGGUGGUCCAAUGGUUAAGACUCCAUGCUUCCAUCACAGGGGACUCAGGUUCGAUCCCUGGCCAGGGAA